AAAAGGCACCACUGUUCCUAUAUUAGCAGUCCUACUCUGAGUCUCUUUGUGAAUGUUGGCCCAGGCCUCACACCUUGUUUUACCUGACUGACUCGGUCCAUGUUCUGAUUAAGCAGUACUAAUACACGUUUUCUUGAUCUAUUUAAUGUGUACCUGUCUGGCUCCGUCUAUGUCCAGGUUGAGGAGGGCUUUGCCGUCACUCUGAGAUGAACACUGAUGCUCUUGAUCUGUUUGAAAUCCGCUAGACACACAGGCUGGUGGGGAUAAGAGAGACACAAUUAAAUGAUACACUUAUCAGUAAAGGUUGACAUGGGGACAGGACUCCCGGGGACAGGACUACCGGGCGACAGGACUACCGGGGACAGGACUACCGGGGACAGGACUCCCGGGGACAGGACUCCCGGGCGACAGGACUACCGGGGACAGGACUCCCGGGGACAGGACUCCCGAGUGGCGCAGCAAACUAAGGCACUGCAUUGCAGUGCUAGAGGUGGCCCUACAGACACUGGUUCAAUCCCGGGCUGUAUCACCAGCUGUGAUCAGGAGUCCCAUAGGGCGGAGCACAAUUGCCUCAGCGUCGUCCGGGUUAAGGGAAGGUUUGGCCGGUGGGACCUACUAGGCUCAUUGCGCUCUAGCGAUGCCUUGUGGUGCGGAGCCUGCAGGCUGACCUCGGUAGUCAGUUGAACAGUGUUUCCUCCGGUGGUGCGUCUGGCUUCCAGGUUAUUAAGCGGGCGGAUGUUAAAGAAGCGUGGUUUGGCGGGUCAUGUUUCGGAGGACGCAAGACUCAACCUUUGCCUCCAGAGACCAUUGAGGAGUUGCAGCGAUGAGACGAUUACGAAAUUGGGGUGAAAAAGGGUGGUGAAAUAAAUGAAUAAACUAUUGGGGGUCCUGUGGGAUUCUGGUUCUAGGGAUCAAGUUUGGGACAGGACAGAAUGGACAGUACAGGACUAGUUAUAAACAUAGUUUUGUGUGUGUGUGUGUGUGUGUGUGGGGGAGAAUAUGUAAUUUGUCGAAGAUUUUAUUUAAAAACUGUGAAUAGGCCUAAUAUAGUUUACUCAAUAUUAAUAAAUUAGUUCAUGUAAUUUCACCCCUCCUCUUCCAUCAGCUCACUCUCACGCCUCGCUCCAGUUACAGCCAUCGCCACAGCACAAUCACUACUUUACCUCAGAUGCCAACGUACAGUCAGUGAAUGAAGGAAUCCUUCAAGAGAUGAAUUGAGUUCAACCGACUCUGGGUAAGCCAAACUUUGCCAAACUCUGAUAAUGUGGUUGUUAUCAGCUGUGUGCAGGGCAGGAUACUGUCUGGUGAGCGCCGAACAGUAGCCAAACGGAGCAGUUGCUAUGGCGAGAUUAUUUUUUGCAUUUGUGAUUUGUGUGUGUAAAAUGAACACGGGACGGGGAGUAGUUUCACAGGAACAGAACAGGAAAGUUCAGUCGUUAUAGAACAGUUCCUGAAACAGGACAGUACGGGAGAAGAUUAGACAGGACAGGAAUGGGUUUUCACUCCCGUGUCAACCUCUAUACUUUUAGACAAAAAAAGGUUUCCUAAAGGGUUCUUCGGCUGUCCCCAUAGGAGAACCCUUUUUGGUUCCAGGUAGAACUCUUUUGGGUGCCAUGUAGAACCCUCUGAGGAAAAGGGUAUUACAUGGAACUCAAAAGGGUUCUACCUGGAAUCAAAAGAGUUCUACAGAAGGGUUCUUCAAAGGGUUCUCCUAUGGGGAUAGUUGAAGAGCAGUUUUGGUUCUAGUUAGCACCUUUUUUCUAUGAGUGUAGUGCAGGGUGAAGUCACAUUUACAUUUUAAGUAAUUUAGCAGACGCUCUUAUCCAGAGCGACUUACAAUUAGUGCAUUCCUCUUCAGCUAGGUG
ensembl:lncRNA